rnacentral:rRNA from 1 species
UUACCACCUUUUGACAUGCCUGGACCGCCAGAGAGAUCUGGCUUUCCNUUCGGGGACUAGGACACAGGUGCUGCAUGGCUGUCGUCAGCUCGUGUUGUGAAAUGUUGGGUUAAGUCCCGCAACGAGCGCAACCCUUAUCCUUUGCUGCCAGCGGUUCGGCCGGGAACUCAAAGGAGNCNNCCAGUGAUAAACUGGAGGAAGGUGGGGAUGACGUCAAGUCAUCAUGGCCCUUACGAGUAGGGCUACACACGUGCUACAAUGGCAUAUACAAAGAGAAGCGACCUCGCGAGAGCAAGCGGACCUCAUAAAGUAUGUCGUAGUCCGGAUUGGAGUCUGCAACUCGACUCCAUGAAGUCGGAAUCGCUAGUAAUCGUAGAUCAGAAUGCUACGGUGAAUACGUUCCCGGGCCUUGUACACACCGCCCGUCACACCAUGGGAGUGGGUUGCAAAAGAAGUAGGUAGCUUAACCUUCGGGAGGGCGCUUACCACUUUGUGAUUCAUGACUGGGGUGAAGUCGUAACAAGGUAACCGUAGGGGAACCUGCGGCUGGAUCACCUCCUU